AACAUCUCUUUCCUUGCUCUUUAUCAGGGAGAGUCUGCUACUCUUUAGCUUGGAAGAACAUCACAAUUAGGGACAAGAUCAUUAUUUCCAAAUACCUGGAAGGGAAUGAAGAGAAGGCUUGGUGCUGUGUGACUCAGAGAGCAGAUUGAGGACUUAGGGAGUGGAGAUUUUAGGGGAACGAAUUUGAGUUCAGUGUAAAAAUCUUACCAUCAAUUAAGGUGCUCUGGCAAUAGAAAUGAGUUGCCAUGAUAAGUGGCAAGUUCAUCUUUAAAGUUGUGAGGCUGCUCUCUCGCCUGUUUGUGAUGCCUUAGAAGAGAGUCCUGAAUUUACAGAAUAUAUAGGAUUUAGAGAUCGUUAAUCUAAUCCUCCAUUUCACACAAGUGGAAUGUGAGGGCCAGAGAGGCCAAGCUACCUGCCCAGGACAUGCAUCUAGUAGAUUUUGCUUCAAAGGGGAAAUGAUAAAAACAGUCAUUUUUAGAUUUAUUUUUUUUGGUUCAAGUUGCAUCUAACUUUUGUCAUCAACAUAGACUGGAUAGUGCAGAGAACGAGAAUUUUUAAAAACUAAAAGAAUUGGUGAUGGUGAUGGGAAGUUAAUAAGUAAUUUGUAUUAUUUUCUUUUCCUUGUAACUAUUUCAUGGUUUUACCUCUUAAUUACUCAUAUCUCUUAUUAUCUUGUGCUUGAUUUUCAUCACUUGAACUUAAAAUACACUAAGAAUCCUUUGAGUGUUUUUUUCCUUUCUAGUUAUUUAUCAGUCUUUUUCUUCCCUUACUCACCCAGAUUUCUUUAACAGUAAGAACCAACACUUGCCAUCUGUAAUAACUGUCUCCCAUUUACUCCUCAGUUGCUUGCAGUCUAUCUUCUGUGCCUUCCCUCCCCCAUCUCACUACAUUGACUAAGGUUUUCAGCGACUUCCACAUGGCCAGUGCCAGGGCAUGUUUUCAGUCCUUCUGGAAGCCCUCUUCCGGCUCUCCUCAUCCCUCUCAGACCAUUCAGUACUUCUUUUGUGGUCUCCUCUUCCUGCUCCUGCCCUGACUCUCAACAGGCCCAGAGAGCUGGUGAGUCCUGGCCUUUUCUCUCCAGGUUCAUAUUCCCAGAUGCACUUGCCUGUUGAGCUACUCUGGCCUCCUGUGUGCUCAUCAUCUGCCUUACCCUUUACAUUCAGACAGUUCUGAGCUGUUGGUGUUGCUGGCCACUCUCAUUUACCUUUCUACCGCUGCCUUUGCAGUGCAUGCUGUUUUGUUCUGCAAAGGCAGACAGGCAUAGAAAGGCUAAGGAAUUUGCUGUUAGGCAGCUAAUGGGAGUAGGCUGAGAUAGCUAAACUUUGCCUCCCUGUUUUGUUUACCUGCCUGGGCCCGACUUCCUACUGGGCUGUGAACUCGUUGAAGCCAGGGACUGUUUCCUGCUCAUCUGUCAGUCACCUCACAGAGUCUGCCCUGUAAUUGUUUGUUGAGUAAGUGAUUAGAAUCUUACUAGAACAUAAUGUGUUCAUUCUCUUGCAGAUAAACUGGAAGCAGAUCAUGUCUUCCAAAACAUAAGUACAUACUGAAUAAAACCUAUGAAGAUACUACCUAAGUAGCCUAUACAUAGGGGUAUUGUUCUGUUCCUGAAUGACAGAUCAAGAAGCUACUCUAGAAGUCGGAGCAGAGGAUGGUACAGCAGAGGCCGCACCAGGAGCCGGAGUAGUUCCUACCGCAGUUACAAAAGUCACAGGACAUCCAGCAGGAGCAGAUCCAGGAGCAGCUCAUAUGAUCCCCACAGUCGGUCCAG